rnacentral:rRNA from 1 species
AUUGAACGCUGGCGGCAUGCCUUACACAUGCAAGUCGAACGGCAACACGGGUGCUUGCACCUGGUGGCGAGUGGCGAACGGGUGAGUAAUACAUCGGUACAUUUCCUGUGGUGGGGGGUAGACCGGCGGAAGCCGGAUUAAUACCGCAUUCGGACCACGUAUUAAAUCGGGGGGCCUUCGGACCUCGCGCUGUAGGGUUGGCCGAUGGCUGAUUAGCUAGUUGGUGGGGUAAAGGCCUACCAAGGCGACGAUCAGUAGCUGGUCUGAGAGGACGACCGGCCACACUGGGACUGGGACACGGCCCAGACUCCUACGGGAGGCAGCAGUGGGGAACUGUGGACAAUGGGCGAAAGCCUGAUCCAGCAAUGCCGCGUGUGUGACGAAGGCCUUCGGGUUGUAAAGCACUUUUGUCCGGAAAGAAAUGCUUGGCCCUAAUACGGUCGGGGGAUGACGGUACCGGAAGAAUAAGCACCGGCUAACUACGUG